rnacentral:rRNA from 1 species
UCCAGAGGGUGCGAGCGUUAAUCGGAAUUACUGGGCGUAAAGCGUGCGUAGACGGCUAUCUAAGUCGGGUGUGAAAGCCCCGGGCUCAACCUGGGAAUUGCAUUCGAGACUGAAUAGCUAGGGUACGGUAGAGGGAAGCGGAAUUUCCGGUGUAGCGGUGAAAUGCGUAGAUAUCGGAAGGAACAUCAGUGGCGAAAGCGGCUUCCUGGACCAGUACCGACGUUCAGGCACGAAAGCGUGGGGAGCAAACAGG